UACGUAGGGUGCGAGCGUUAAUCGGAAUUACUGGGCGUAAAGCGCACGUAGGCGGAUCUUUAAGUCAGGGGUGAAAUCCCAAGGCUCAACCUUGGAACUGCCUUUGAUACUGGGGAUCUCGAGUCCGGAAGAGGUUGGUGGAACUGCGAGUGUAGAGGUGAAAUUCGUAGAUAUUCGCAAGAACACCAGUGGCGAAGGCGGCCAACUGGUCCGGUACUGACGCUGAGGUGCGAAAGCGUGGGGAGCAAACAGGG
rnacentral:rRNA from 1 species